rnacentral:ncRNA from 1 species
GAGUUUGAUCAUGGCUCAGAUUGAACGCUGGCGGCAGGCCUAACACAUGCAAGUCGAGCGGUAACAGAACUAGCUUGCUAGUUGCUGACGAGCGGCGGACGGGUGCGUAACACGUAGGAAUCUGCCCAGUAGUGGGGGAUAGCCCGGAGAAAUCCGGAUUAAUACCGCAUACGCCCUAAGGGGGAAAGCAGGGGAUCUUCGGACCUUGCGCUACUGGAUGAGCCUGCGUCGGAUUAGCUUGUUGGUGGGGUAAAGGCCUACCAAGGCGACGAUCCGUAGCUGAUCUGAGAGGAUGAUCAGCCACACUGGGACUGAGACACGGCCCAGACUCCUACGGGAGGCAGCAGUGGGGAAUAUUGCACAAUGGGCGAAAGCCUGAUGCAGCCAUGCCGCGUGUGUGAAGAAGGCUCUAGGGUUGUAAAGCACUUUCAGCGAGGAGGAAAGGUUGUACGUUAAUACCGUGCANUUUGGGUUAUAUGGUCAAGUGACUAAGCGUACAC